rnacentral:tRNA from 3 species
UACGGACUUAAAAUCCGUUGGCUUUAUUGACCGUGAGGGUUCAAGUCCCUCUACCCCCA